CGUUCCCAUCCAUAUUUCUCCAAAAGAGCGACGACUGGUGCUCCGAUAUGCGGCCGCGCAUUAUCGUGCAAUAUGGACACACCAUUUUGUAACAUUCCUGGUCGCUUUUUACGGAUUUCUGGUCGCAAUUUUUUAGCAAGGAAUGUUUUGUANGUUCCGGUGACAGAAAAUGAGGCACCCAACGUGCUGCAAUCUUUCGUUUCUGUAGAAUUUCCGUUAAAAUGCGGUGAACACUUGAUUUUGAAAUACCUGUUUCAUUCUCUAUCUCUCUCACCGUUAUUCGUCGGUCUUCAUCGAGUAGAGUUGCGAGAAUAGCCGCGUUAGUGUUGUCUUGAGUAACCGUAGAG